AACGCACAUUGCGCCCCCUGGCAUUCCGGGGGGCAUGCCUGUCCGAGCGUCAUUUCAACCCUCAAGCUUUGCUUGGUCUUGGGCUUUUUUGCUAGCAAUGGCAGGCCUUAAAAUUAGUGGCGGAGCCGCUGUGGUCCUGAGCGUAGUAACAUACCCUCGCUACUGGUCCUCGGCGUGCCUCUUGCCAAAACCCCCCCAAUUUACUAUGGUUGACCUCGGAUCAGGUAGGGAUACCCGCUGAACUUAA
rnacentral:misc_RNA from 1 species